CACAGGUCGAUCUGCUUCAUGACAACACCAGGGAACGGCAGGAACAUCUAGUCUGAGCCCAAGCCAUGCAGGUUGAAGUUCAGACAAACCAGGCCAGACAGCAUCAACCUCAUCAACUCCACAUGAGUGGCAUGU